CAGGAUUCAUGCGGGUUUCAUAUUGUCAACCGAAUAUCGCAUUUAUUUUGUGAAUAAAUAUUCUUAAUAAUUAAAUGGCUUGACAGACGGACACGUUGAAAGUAGCGAAAACAAUUUGAUGGAAAUUAAAGGUGAAGUGUUUUGUGAGCAAAGUGAAAAUCUAACAAAAAGCUAUCAAGUGAUAGCAACAACUACGCGCAGGAAACCAAAAAGUGCAACAACAACAACAAGAAAUAAUGGCAAACGUAUGGUCACAGAAAGCGUCGUGAACAAGUGAGCUCAGUACAAAAACACGCAGAGCGUGAAGUGAGUAGACGCCGAGUACGAACGGGAGAGUUUCACUGACAGUUUCAACACGUUACCUGCACGCACAAUAGUUCCACUUACCCACACACAGUUACCUAGACAAGUACAAUUGUAUGUAUGUGCAUACGAACAUUUUUAACUAAGCAUAUGCAACGACGACGCCGAACAACUCAAGCGACCACUCAAUCAUCCAGCCCACCUAGCAAAGUGCGAAGAGACUUGUGAAACUGUCGCGCCCAGUCAAGCAGUCAAGCAGCCAAGCAGUCAAACACCGACCCAAAGCAUUUCGUCAUAAUUGCUGUCGCCCUGUAGAGUAGCAGUGCCGCCUGUCGGCCCGUCAAACCUACCGACCGCCCCACUGACGGCCUCACCAGCUGGUUUAGGGCACGACUCGUCAGUCGUCGGCCGCCGUGCGACACCGUCUGUCGCCGCUAAUACUUGCAAGUAUAAAAGUCAGCAACAACGGUGACAUAAAGCAGUGCGAAACCCACCACAAACACGCCAGCUGAGCGGCAGCCGAGCAAGCUGUAGCAGCAGCAGUGGAUUUAACGCUGACGCUUAGCAUUCAUAGGAAGCCCUAGAAAGGCAACUCACACACGUGUUGUGUGCUUUGUAUUUCUCGCCUUCGUUUUCAUUGAAAGGACUCUCGCCGUGGCCACACAUACUCAACGCGUACACGUUGGCAGCACAGGCAGGUAAGUGCGCUUAAUUUGCUUGUGAAAUUAGUAAGUCUAAAAAUUCUCAACUAAUCUGCUCUGUCACUCUACAAUCCACUUACUAUUUGGCGUAGCAUUUUCUCUCUUAAAAUGUUCUAUUUUGCGUAGUACUUCUUAGUCUCUUAAAACUCUAAUGAACUAUGUUAAUCUCUAUACUGAAACUAAUUUUUGUACCAUGUCGUCUUAACUAUUUGUAACUACUGUGUACCUUACUUAGUCUCUAAACAUCCCACUACCAAAAACUCUAACUGAACUCUAGAGCUUUUGGUCGCUGUCUUUUUAUUGGAAAAACUCUUCAACAACUCUUCUUUACGCACUUAUUUAUGCACCUACAUUUGACUCGUAUGCACGAACACACAUUGACAUAUCCGUUCUCUGUAGUCUCGUGUAUUACCAAUUCUAUUUACACUUUCGAUUCAUUUCCGUUUCCGAGUGUUUCGUUUCCGUUGCGAGUGUCGACCCUUAUCAACAAUCGAACAGCACAGCGGGCAAUAAAUAGCCAAGCAGCCAAGCGGCCAAGUGAGCAGCUCGCCCACAAAGGUAGCAGCGCGCAGCGAAAAGCCCAGACGGACGACACAUUUAAGCGGCUCAGGCGAAAAGCCAAAGCUACCGGAUAUCAUGUCCUUGCCUAUUGACUGGCAAGUGGUCUCAACUUAACUCAUUCGUUGACUUUUCGCUCAGUCGGCGGCAUGAGACGCACUCAAAGCCAAAGCAUAAAUGAUGAAUUUCAACAGAAAACUUACGAAAGUCACAAUAAAGUGAAAUUUCGGCGCAGCCUUGAAGUAUGCAAUGCGUGUGGUGAAGGAAAUCAAACUUGUUAAUCGCAGUCCUGCAGGCGUCUAGAUUUAGUAUGGAAAUCGGCAGCAAAAUAAAACAGUGCGAGCACAGUGAGAAACAGUAACAUUAAAGGAUGAGCGAAAAGUGGAUAUAGCCAAUAUAAUUUCGAAGAAUCGGUGCUUUAAUACAUAUAUUUGUUAAACCUGCUUUCAAAAUAAUUGAUUGUAAUUUUUAUUGUAUAUUUUUCUAAAAUAAAA